rnacentral:rRNA from 1 species
ACGAACGCUGGCGGCGCGCCUAACACCUGCCCGUCGAACGCGCGAGAGAGAGCUUGCUUUCUUGAGCGAGUGGCGAACGGGUGAGUAACGCGUGAGGAACCUGCCUCAAAGAGGGGGACAACAGUUGGAAACGACUGCUAAUACCGCAUAAGCCCACGACCCGGCAUCGGGUUGAGGGAAAAGGAGCAAUCCGCUUUGAGAUGGCCUCGCGUCCGAUUAGCUAGUUGGUGAGGUAACGGCCCACCAAGGCGACGAUCGGUAGCCGGACUGAGAGGUUGAACGGCCACAUUGGGACUGAGACACGGCCCAGACUCCUACGGGAGGCAGCAGUGGGGAAUAUUGCACAAUGGGGGAAACCCUGAUGCAGCGACGCCGCGUGGAGGAAGAAGGUCUUCGGAUUGUAAACUCCUGUUGUCGAGGAAGAUAAUGACGGUACUCAACAAGGAAGUGACGGCUAACUACGUG